CCUACGGGAGGCAGCAGUGGGGAAUAUUGGGCAAUGGAGGAAACUCUGACCCAGCAACGCCGCGUGAAGGAUGAAGGUUUUCGGAUUGUAAACUUCUGUCGCGAGGGAUGAAGAAUGACGGUACCUCGUAAGAAAGCCCCGGCAAACUACGUGCCAGCAGCCGCGGUAAUACGGAGGAUGCGAGCGUUAUCCGGAUUUAUUGGGUUUAAAGGGUGCGUAGGCGGAUUUUUAAGUCAGCGGUAAAAUGUCCGGGCUCAACCCGGGCCGGCCGUUGAAACUGGGGAUCUUGAGUGGGCGAGAAGUAUGCGGAAUGCGUGGUGUAGCGGUGAAAUGCAUAGAUAUCACGCAGAACUCCGAUUGCGAAGGCAGCAUACCGGCGCCCGACUGACGCUGAGGCACGAAAGCGUGGGGAUCGAACAGGAUUAGAUACCCGAGUAGUC
rnacentral:rRNA from 1 species